rnacentral:rRNA from 1 species
AGCGAACGCUGGCGGCAGGCUUAACACAUGCAAGUCGAGCGGGCAUCUUCGGAUGUCAGCGGCAGACGGGUGAGUAACACGUGGGAACGUACCCUUCGGUUCGGAACAACUCUGGGAAACUGGAGCUAAUACCGGAUACGCCCUUAUGGGGAAAGGUUUACUGCCGAAGGAUCGGCCCGCGUCUGAUUAGCUAGUUGGUGGGGUAACGGCCUACCAAGGCGACGAUCAGUAGCUGGUCUGAGAGGAUGAUCAGCCACACUGGGACUGAGACACGGCCCAGACUCCUACGGGAGGCAGCAGUGGGGAAUAUUGAACAAUGGGCGCAAGCCUGAUCCAGCCAUGCCGCGUGAGUGAUGAAGGCCUUAGGGUUGUAAAGCUCUUUUGUCCGGGACGAUAAUGACGGUACCGGAAGAAUAAGCCCCGGCUAACUUCGUG